GAUGAACGCUGGCGGCGUGCCUAAUACAUGCAAGUCGAGCGAACGGACGAGAAGCUCGCUUUUCUGAUGUUAGCGGCGGACGGGUGAGUAACACGUGGAUAACCUACCUAUAAGACUGGGAUAACUUCGGGAAACCGGAGCUAAUACCGGAUAAUAUUUUGAACCGCAUGGUUCAAAAGUGAAAGACGGUCUUGCCGUCACUUAUAGAUGGAUCCGCGCUGCAUUAGCUAGUUGGUAAGGUAACGGCUUACCAAGGCAACGAUGCAUAGCCGACCUGAGAGGGUGAUCGGCCACACUGGAACUGAGACACGGUCCAGACUCCUACGGGAGGCAGCAGUAGGGAAUCUUCCGCAAUGGGCGAAAGCCUGACGGAGCAACGCCGCGUGAGUGAUGAAGGUCUUCGGAUCGUAAAACUCUGUUAUUAGGGAAGAACAUAUGUGUAAGUAACUGUGCACAUCUUGACGGUACCUAAUCAGAAAGCCACGGCUAACUACGUG
rnacentral:rRNA from 1 species